ACGAGGGGGGCAAGCGUUGUUCGGAAUUAUUGGGCGUAAAGGGCGCGUAGGCGGCGCGGUAAGUCACCUGUGAAACCUCUGGGCUCAACUCGGAGCCUGCAGGCGAAACUGCCGUGCUGGAGUGUGGGAGAGGUGAGUGGAAUUCCCGGUGUAGCGGUGAAAUGCGCAGAUAUCGGGAGGAACACCCGUAGCGAAGGCGGCACUCUGGGCCGGAACUGACGCUGAGGAGCGAAAGCCAGGGGAGCAAACGGGA
rnacentral:rRNA from 1 species